rnacentral:rRNA from 1 species
AGGACGAACGCUGGCGGCGUGCUUAACACAUGCAAGUCGAACGAUGAAGCCGCUUCGGUGGUGGAUUAGUGGCGAACGGGUGAGUAACACGUGGGCAAUCUGCCCUUCACUCUGGGACAAGCCCUGGAAACGGGGUCUAAUACCGGAUACCACUCCGUCCCGCAUGGGACGGGGUUGAAAGCUCCGGCGGUGAAGGAUGAGCCCGCGGCCUAUCAGCUUGUUGGUGGGGUGAUGGCCUACCAAGGCGACGACGGGUAGCCGGCCUGAGAGGGCGACCGGCCACACUGGGACUGAGACACGGCCCAGACUCCUACGGGAGGCAGCAGUGGGGAAUAUUGCACAAUGGGCGAAAGCCUGAUGCAGCGACGCCGCGUGAGGGAUGACGGCCUUCGGGUUGUAAACCUCUUUCAGCAGGGAAGAAGCGAAAGUGACGGUACCUGCAGAAGAAGCGCCGGCUAACUACGUGCCAGCAGCCGCGGUAAUACGUAGGGCGCAAGCGUUGUCCGGAAUUAUUGGGCGUAAAGAGCUCGUAGGCGGCUUGUCGCGUCGGUUGUGAAAGCCCGGGGCUUAACCCCGGGUCUGCAGUCGAUACGGGCAGGCUAGAGUGUGGUAGGGGAGAUCGGAAUUCCUGGUGUAGCGGUGAAAUGCGCAGAUAUCAGGAGGAACACCGGUGGCGAAGGCGGAUCUCUGGGCCAUUACUGACGCUGAGGAGCGAAAGCGUGGGGAGCGAACAGGAUUAGAUACCCUGGUAGUCCACGCCGUAAACGUUGGGAACU